UUGAAUAAUGCGUGCAUUUUACCUUCCUUUAGUAUAGAAAAGAGAUUUCUUCAUGCUUACUGGUCACCAACGGACAAAACGUCUUCACUUUUUUUUGCACUUGGCAUUGAUACUACAGAAUGGUAGAGCGAUUAUAGAUUGAGCUCUCUUUACGCAAAAAGAAAUAAACGAAUUAUUUUUCAUAUUAUAUUAGACUUGUAUUUAAAACAUAUGUCACAAUGAAGAGUAGUAAUUUCUGGCACAAACUUAAAUGUGAAAGUUCAGUUAACUACAAUGAACGGUUUUCAUUACAAAGAUGGUAAUUAAAACUCAUCGAUUUUCCAUGUCGUUAUUAUUUUUUAUAAACCAUUAUCACAUAUUUUACGUUGAAUAACUCAUUAAAUUUUGCUGUAGGCAACAUGCAAAGAUAUGUAUCUGCUUAGGAAAAGAAUACAUUGUUGUAAUACUGAUGGUAUAUGGGAUUACACGUUGUCAUUAGCUUUAGUAUGUAACAUAGCAUGCGUACAAUAAAGAACUGCUUUUUUUUGGUAUACAUGUAUAACUUCAAGUAGGUCUUUCGAGGGUGGCAUUUACUUAUUGUAUUAUGUUGCGAAUUAGCUAAAGCUAUUACUUAUUAUUUCACAUUUACCAUUCUUGAGUACGUAGUAACAUUAUAAAUAGAAUUCAAGUUAAUUCAAUCAAAUGCACAAACUGGGUAGUCUUAUAUCGUUGUUUCGUUGUUGUUCCUGUAUCUAAUCACAAUCAGGAUUUGCAUAUAACAUAGAGCUUUUGCUCUCAUCUUAUUAUUGAAUUACCUCAUCUUAUUAUGGAAAUAUUAGAUUUGUCAGAGUGUACCCACACCUUUUCACUGAAUCAAAAAUACAACACUUUGAUUCUUCUGACAGUUACCAUGUUGUGCAUCAUCCGUCAUUGUUCACAACUUUUUAUCAGCUGUAGAUUAUUUCGCUUGUUCCUUCUCGUUGCAAAUAUUUACGUUUAGUGUUGAGAAGCUCGUCCGGCCAGGUUUUGAAACCCUUUUCACUGUCGAAUGUGUAGCUUUCAAUUUAAUUUGUCAGUGAAAGGGAAAGAUGAAAAUCCGUCGGCGCAAAGUCCGUAGAAUAUAAAGGGCGUAGCUAAACCUUCCGCUUGAAGUUCAAGAAGGAAACUUUGACGAUCUUUGCUGUGUGUGGCCUUUUGUUAUCAUGACCUGAUCUUGUCUGUCGAGUUUUUCCCACUGAAUCACCUGGUUUUGCAUGAUUCGAGGGACACAUGUGCCAAGUUAACCUCACGCAACUACCAAAUAAAUGUGCUAACCAACUGCCUAAUUGACAAAAGGAAAUCUUCAGUAAAUCAGGCUCUUGCAGUUACACCAAACGGAAUGCAUAAUUUUUUUUUUGGUAAUACCGGGCCUUGGCUUCUCUCCUGGGUUUGCUCACUGCGAUCUUUUACUUACGUUGAUGUACAGGUAGCUUCUCAUGGCCGGUGAAAAUAACAAUCGGUUAUUGUAACUGCGUGACGCUCAACGCCGUGCGAGAUGUUGUUGAUGUGCGAGAUCCAGAGAUUUCAUGAGGUACUCAAGCUCCAGGCUACUGUGUAAACCUAAGAAAACAAACGCGACGUCAAAAACGGAAGCUAAGUCCUAACCGUUUAAGCCACCUUCUUUAAUGUUCGCUUUCUUCCGCCUAAAAUUUGCGACAUUGAUGACGCUGAUGACGUCCCCUUACCAUACGUUUAAAGGUUGUCGGGCGUACAGUAUUAGAAGACGUACGCAAUAUGUAUCUAAAUUUAAGUAAGUCUAAAGUUUAUCUCCAUAUACGGCUGCAAAGCUCUUGGAAUCAUUUCUGUUAUAACGCCGGCUUGCAUCGGAUUUCCGUGACCUCAUAGUGACACUGAGAGGUACCUGCAGCUUUAAAUCGCAUGGCGCAUAACACAUUGAUAAUGACCACGCUUGCCAGUUUUUUACAGAUGAAGUAUCCAAAUACUACAAGUUGAAGAGGCUGUAAUAUGGGAACCAAGUUCAGGACACCAAGGCUAAAUAACACCGGCUGGAACGGGUUAUCUCAUCUCACAGCAUCAAUAAGAGAAAGCGACUCCGUUAAACCCAAGCACAGCAGAGUAGGCUUCUAAAGCUCGUUGUAAUAGGUCCUCAACUGGGAGAAACGACGAUUCAUGGACAGUUGCUUAAGCUGUGCGCUAGCUCUCCGCGGCAAAAAAUAAGUCUCCCAUCUUGAGGGAGCGAGACCGCGCCAGGUGCAACUGGUAGCUUCAUCUUCGUCCUCGGGCUGUC